rnacentral:rRNA from 1 species
UACGAAGGGGGCUAGCGUUGUUCGGAAUCACUGGGCGUAAAGCGCACGCAGGCGGAUAAAUAAGUCAGGGGUGAAAUCCCGGGGCUCAACCUCGGAAUUGCCUUUGAUACUGUUUAUCUCGAGUUCGGGAGAGGUUGGCGGAAUUCCUAGUGUAGAGGUGAAAUUCGUAGAUAUUAGGAAGAACACCAGUGGCGAAGGCGGCCAACUGGCCCGAUACUGACGCUCAUGUGCGAAAGCGUGGGGAGCAAACAGG